CCCUUAGAUGUUCUGGGCCGCACGCGCGCUACAAUGGUCUUCGCAAACGGGUGCAUUCUCGAAGGAGAAUGCCAAUCUUGGAAUCUAUGCCUUGGUCGGGACAGUUGCUUGCAAUUUUUCGACUCGAACCAGGAAUUCCUUGUAAUCGUGAUUCAUCACAUCACGAUGAAUACGUCCCUGCCCUUUGUACACACCGCCCGUCGCUCCUACCGAUCGAAGAGUUAGGUGAAUUGUUUUGAUCGAUAAGAUUUGACUAUGGUCAACUCUCGUUGUGAAAUUCUGUGAAUCUGACUGUUUAGAGGAAGGAAAAGUCGUAACA
rnacentral:rRNA from 1 species